UUUACUCGUGCAAUUAGUCGUUAUCUUCUCUGAGCUUACCGAGUACUACCACUCACUCCGUAGUACCUUAUUUUCACUUGCAUUAAUUAUUUGUGACUUACAUACAUGGCAAAACUGAGAUGUCGACCAUCAUAGUGGCAUCAUUGCUCCUUCGUCCCUUGGACAGUCUUUUUUCGGCGAUUGAUAUUGGUAGUUUGCUUGUCAUGUCAGUUUUGCAUCUGAUGUAACAGGUCAACAUAAUUUUCUUUAUUUUUCUCGAGUACUGAAAAUUUCAUUUAUACAUAAUUUUGGGCAGAAACUACUCCAUCAUCAUUUUGUUAAGUGAUCUUUUUCAGCUCAGUAACGAAAGUUGACCUCGUCUAUGCUAGUAUAAAUUAAGCCCAUUCACCCUUCAAAACAUAAUAAUUAAGCCCAUCCAAAUUCCUAAUCUAGACAGAAAAAAAAUGCAAUAAUAGUUAACAUGAAUUUGACCAUCCAAUUUUUAUGUCAGUGCACACUUGAAACAACCUAAACGAAGUAGAAAACUCUGUUUUAUUAGUUGACUCCGCACGUGCAUGAUUUAAUAAUCACUGAGCUGAAUCACGAUCGAAACCAAAGAACUUCAACUCGAGGAUAAUGUGUCACUAUACAAAAAGCACGAUUGAAUAUAAUUAAUGGUACUUCCACAAUUAGCAAUUAACUGCCUUACACAAAUCCAUUGAGAUUGUAGAAAAUCAAACCCACUGAGCACUGACCCGGCGGUGGUAGAUGGAAUCAAAUGCAGUUGAGAUCAGGAGGAGAUCCCAAACCGAAGCCCACGGCCACCAUGCACCCACCCACAAGCCCAUGCCUAGCGACCUUUCCACAGGCUUCUUGUCCUCGUCCGCACAUGUCUGCCGUCCUCUCCUCUCCUAGCUCGUUUGGUUGCAGGAGAUGGCUUUUUAGAAAAGAGGGCAAAGGAUUUUUGCAUGGGGUGCAUGGAGGGGGAUGGUGGUUGUUGCCGUGUCCAUUUCGGGAGUGGGGCUAAGCUAG
rnacentral:lncRNA from 1 species